rnacentral:rRNA from 1 species
AGCGAACGCUGGCGGCAGGCUUAACACAUGCAAGUCGAGCGGGCGUAGCAAUACGUCAGCGGCAGACGGGUGAGUAACGCGUGGGAACAUACCUUUUGGUUCGGAACAACACAGGGAAACUUGUGCUAAUACCGGAUAAGCCCUUACGGGGAAAGAUUUAUCGCCGAAAGAUUGGCCCGCGUCUGAUUAGCUAGUUGGUGAGGUAACGGCUCACCAAGGCGACGAUCAGUAGCUGGCUGAGAGGAUGAUCAGCCACAUUGGGACUGAGACACGGCCCAAACUCCUACGGGAGGCAGCAGUGGGGAAUAUUGGACAAUGGGCGAAAGCCUGAUCCAGCCAUGCCGCGUGAGUGAUGAAGGCCCUAGGGUUGUAAGCUCUUUUGUGCGGGAAGAUAAUGACGGUACCGCAAGAAUAACGCCCCGCUAACUUCGUGCCAGCCGCCGCGGUAAG